rnacentral:lncRNA from 1 species
AAGUAGCUUUACUUUUGGGAAAUUCAUUGAGAACAUUUCUCUAGAUAUGUGCAAGAUUUUUGACAUCAAUUUUUAAUUUGAUUUAAGAAGUACUUUUGUGAUAAACAUCCAAAACGAUGAAAAGUAAGAGUUUAUUUUGAGUUCUAAAGCAAAAUGCCACUCCCUGUCAGAUCACCUCCGUCUGAGGCCACACCCAUCACUUUCCACUUGAAUCAAGCCAACAUUUCCAUCAGCUUCUAUUCUUUCUCAUUUUAUGCUUUAGUUCAGUGGUUAAGAGUCCACACACAUCCAUUUUAAACACAAUUCACUCAAACAAAGUUGCUUAUAAUUUAAAUUCCAUGCCACUUACAAUUUUUUCUUUGCAUGGGUGUUUAAAUAGUUCUGUUAUGGAAUUGUUCCUGCAUAGUUCUGAGCUGUCCUUUUAUAAGAAGUGAUGUUCCAGUGUCUUCACAAUGUAGUGAUUAUCAGCCUUACAACGACCUUGUAGCCUUUCUGAACACACACAUCAUGCUCACUCCCCAAUGGCUAGAAAAUACAAAGCACUAGCAGGAUUCAUUGCAUCCGUUUUCACAUCUUUCUAACAUCAGGUAAAAAUCUCUGGGAUACAUGCGGUAGUAAAAUUCAAAAGAGGAUUAUCAAUGAAUAGCACAUAAGAAUUAUUUUCAUGAAUUUCAACUAAUUGCAGCCAGUUUCAAUAUAUAAUAAUGUUGGCUAGUGUGUAAUUCUUGACCUAAGAAAUAUAAAUAAAAGCAAAAAGUU